rnacentral:rRNA from 1 species
AUUGAACGCUGGCGGCAGGCCUAACACAUGCAAGUCGAGCGAGCGGCGGACGGGUGAGUAAUGUCUGGGCAACUGCCUGAUGGAGGGGGAUAACUACUGGAAACGGUAGCUACUACCGCAUACCAUCAGAUGUGCCCAGAUGGGAUUAGCUCGUAGGUGGGGUAACGGCUCACCUCGGCGACGAUCCCUAGCUGGUCUGAGAGGAUGACCAGCCACACUGGAAUGGGGACACGGUCCAGACGCCUACGGAAGGCAGCAGUGGGGAAUAUUGCACAAGGGGCGCAAGCCUGAUGCAGCCAUGCGGCGUGUGGGAAGAAGGCCUUCGGGUGGUAAAGCACGUUCAGCGGGGAGGCGUUACCCGAAGAAGAAGCACCGGCUAACUCCGUGCCAGCCGCCGCGGUAAUAC